rnacentral:rRNA from 1 species
AGUGAACGCUGGCGGUAGGCCUAACACAUGCAAGUCGAACGGCAGCACAGUAAGAGCUUGCUCUUACGGGUGGCGAGUGGCGGACGGGUUAGGAAUACAUCGGAAUCUACUUUUUCGUUGGGGAUAACGUAGGGAAACUUACGCUAAUACCGCAUACGACCUACGGGUGAAAGCAGGGGAUCUUCGGACCUUGCGCGAUUGAAUGAGCCGAUGUCGGAUUAGCUAGUUGGCGGGGUAAAGGCCCACCAAGGCGACGAUCCGUAGCUGGUCUGAGAGGAUGACCAGCCACACUGGAACUGAGACACGGUCCAGACUCCUACGGGAGGCAGCAGUGGGGAAUAUUGGACAAUGGGCGCAAGCCUGAUCCAGCCAUACCGCGUGGGUGAAGAAGGCCUUCGGGUUGUAAAGCCCUUUUGUUGGGAAAGAAAAGCAGCAGGUUAAUACCCCGCUGUUCUGACGGUACCCAAAGAAUAAGCACCGGCUAACUUCGUG